UACAGAGGGUGCGAGCGUUGUCCGGAAUCACUGGGCGAAAGGGCGCGUAGGUGGCGACCCAAGUCUGUGGUGAAAGCUCGAUGCUUAACAUCGAGUCGGCCGCGGAAACUGGGGUGCUCGAGCACUGUAGGGGCAGAUGGAAUUCCGGGUGUAGCGGUGGAAUGCGUAGAGAUCCGGAAGAACACCGGUGGCGAAGGCGGUCUGCUGGGCAGUUGCUGACACUGAGGCGCGACAGCGUGGGGGAGCAAACAGG
rnacentral:rRNA from 1 species